GGAGUGGAGGCCCUUCUCGUGGAGAAGCUGGACGGCGCUAUGUGAGUCGUUGCCUCUCCUGCAGACGGCGUACAAGUGAGGCUGUUUAUCCAAGUCGUUGCCGGAGGAAUCCUUCAUUUUUGUCAGUGAGGUCUUGAGCAUAGGCAUCUUCUCCUCCAGAACAGCGAGCGGUAUGUUCAGAAAGUGAAACCAUUUGGGAGUUAUGAGCAGGCCGUAUGUCCAGCUGCAGAUGAGGUUCAGGCUCGGUACUGCCUGCGUUAUGUCAGAUGAAAAGGUGAAAUAUCCUAACUUCUCAACAUGGAGCACUUGGUGAUGCCACCACGCCGCCACCGCCUAAAACGGUACAGUUGCCCUCUUUCAUUUUUCCCAUCAGCGACAUGAAUCUCAUCACUGCAAUGUUGCCUAACUGACCUCUCAUCCCUUCCGCGUGUUAUAAUGGUAUGAUUAUUAUUGUUCGAUAGAUGUAUUCGUAGCUUCUGCACAAUCACAUUGGCAAUGCGAUUCCUCGGGGGCAGGGCCAGAAGGUGUGGUGGUGGGACAGACAACAGAAGAGGAAGCUCAUCUUCCAAGCCUAGAGGCAAGGUGUUCAACUGGUUUCCUCAUGAUAUGCAGAGUGACCACCCAUCUUUGAAGCCUAAAGGAAAUCAUUCAAGUGGCCACCCAGGAGCUAUCUCUGCGAGUCUCUUUGUUUUCCAAUAUGUUAGGUUACAGUGAUUUAUGAGUAUAUCUCUAACAUGACAUUUCAAAAGAUGAAGAUGAAAUGGGGGAGUUUGAUUGUUGUUUGGUGCGUCUGUUUCUCCAUGUUGGUAUGCACGUGACAUUGAGAGAUUCAAAGAUGUGGCUUAGAAGAAAUGAGAGCAAGAUUGUUUUGGAGAAAUUGAGAGGAA